rnacentral:misc_RNA from 1 species
AAGUCAUAACAAGGUUUCUGUAGGUGAACCUGCAGAAGGAUCAUUAUUGAAUUGUAAGAACGGGGGAGUCGCUUUCGAGCACUCCUCUACAUUCUAUAUUCCUAAACACCUGUGAAUCGUUGCUGAGCUCGCUCAGUGGCACAAUCUUUAUACACACUUUAUAGUUUUGAACGUAAAAAAACCAAAAAAUCAAAAAUAUAA